rnacentral:rRNA from 1 species
UACGAAGGGGGCUAGCGUUGUUCGGAAUCACUGGGCGUAAAGCGCACGUAGGCGGAUCUUUAAGUCAGGGGUGAAAUCCCGAGGCUCAACCUCGGAACUGCCUUUGAUACUGGGGAUCUCGAGUCCGGGAGAGGUGAGUGGAACUGCGAGUGUAGAGGUGAAAUUCGUAGAUAUUCGCAAGAACACCAGUGGCGAAGGCGGCUCACUGGCCCGGAACUGACGCUGAGGUGCGAAAGCGUGGGGAGCAAACAGGG